rnacentral:lncRNA from 1 species
GAAACUAUUACUACAUUUUUUGUAUUAUUACCUUUCAGUAUAAGGUGAGAGUCUUGUAGAAUAAGCUAACUUCAUCAAAUAGCAAUUAGUAGCUAGUAAGUAGCAGUACCAAGCAGUGGAACUCCAAAAUAGAACUAAUGCAGCAACACCCAAUAAACUUACAAUAUACUUAUCUAUCAUUCCUCUCUCGUAAUAUUCUCAUAACACUGGUUAUGUGCGUCUCUAUUAUAAUGGUUUGGCAAAGGGUUACCUGUAGAAACUGAAAACCAGAAAUCAUUCCACGAACAUCAACAUUGCCUGAAACAAGCACAAGAGGGGUCAAACUUAGAAGCAGAACCACAAUUCUCAGUAUAAAAACAUAUUACAAGAGAGGAAUAGCUGAGGAUAGAUGUAAACAAAAGGGGUCCAACUUAGAAGCAAAACCACGAUUCUCGCAGUCACAACACUACCAAAAGCUAAAUUGUCCAGAUUACAUAAACUAGAGCGUCAUAUCUAUUGCAUAGGACAAAUCUAAUUCCUCUAAACUUUCUUGUUAAAGCAAUCCUCUUCAUUAUAGAGAAUUUACCUCACUAAGCAGUUUAUAUCUCCAUUUCUUGGACAAGAACCAGUCAAGUUUUUUUCAUUACUUCGCGCUACAUUAAAAAGACAGAUAUUAGAGCGACUAGAACAACAAAAUAGAAAAGUUGCACGUAAAAAGAAUCUACAAGCCCAGAGAAACACACUCAUAACAAGACUGCACAAACAGUAUUCUAGUCAAAUACAUGCAUUCAUUUCUCACAAAUCACAAAUCACAAGCAGUUGUAAAUGAUAUUAAGUACAAAAAAUUUCUACUGCAAAGAUAGUGACAGGGUAGUUCGACAAUUAUAUGAUGUAAGCUCUACAGGAAACAUGAACAAGGUGAUGUACUUUGAAUUUCUGUAAGUUGAAUUCGUCUUUCUUAGGUAGACUAUGAUCAGUUAGGAUAAGCUUACAAACAGAAAAUUAGAAGACGGCGCGAACAGUGAGGACUACAUCUAAAUGCUCUCAUCUACCAUGAAGUAACAAUUAAAGAUAUCUUAGAGAAAGCUUUACAACUGGAGGAUAGCAAUCUUUUGCUGUGGGCGAGAGGCAGAAAAACCACCACAAGUGUUGGUAUCUGAAGCAGUGAAAGUCUUGCAAAAUAUGCUAACUUUAUCAAAUAGGAAUGCUAAAAACAAAGUAAAGUCAUCCAAAAGAUGCUUGUAUUAACUAAAUUUUACCUAAAGGAACUAAAUUUAAGCAGCUAGAAUAACACAUCUAAAUCAGAAAACGAUGGAAGCACAUAAAUACCUGAUUGUCGGGAACUAAUGAGACUAAACCUCAUCAAUCUUGCAUCCUCC